rnacentral:lncRNA from 1 species
UAUAAAGAGAGAGAGAGAGAGAGAGAGAGAGAGAGAGAGAAAGAGUUGAGCUAGAAUACUAUCGGUAGUAAACGAGCCGUUUUACUACCGAUUUGUUUUCGAUGAUAGAGCUUCCAAAUUGACGAUCGGCUCCGUUGAACAUGACCUAUACCACUUGAAGUGUUUAGAAAUCAGAUUUCAAAUCUUUUCGACAUCAUUUGCCUAAUGAUCAAAGGGUUUCAAAAUUUGUAAUUUUAAUGGUCGAUAAGAGGCGUUUUCUCGUUUACCGGCGUAAAGAUAUCCAAAUCAAUUAAAUUUUUGUUAAAAAAUUCUUUAAACUAUUUAAAACAAGAUCUAUACUCUUGAUUUUGAUUACAAGACUCCUAUCAUCAUUUUUUAAAGAGUAUUCAUUUUCAGCCAUUCAUUUUUCUAUUCACUUGAUGGAUAAAAGAACAAUAUCGAAAGUACGUGAAAUUUGAUUUCUAGAUAGUUUAAAUGGUUUAGAUCAUAUUUAACGGAGCCGAUCGUCGAUUCGCAAGCUCCAUCAACGAAAAUGGCUUAAGAGCACGGAGGCCUCCGUGCUACAAAGUUGUUUUCGAUGAUACGACUUCCAUAUCAACGAUCGGCUCCAUUAGAUUUGAUUUACACUAUUGAAAGUAUUUGAUAACUAAAUUUCAUGUGUGUGUUUGUGUGUAUACGGCUUUCAUAUCAACGAUCGGCUCCAUUAGAUUUGAUUUACACUAUUGAAAGAAUUUGAUAACUAAAUUUCAUAACUUUUCAACAUUAUUUGGCUAGUGAUCAAAAGGUCUCAAAAAUGAUAAUUUUAAUGGCCGAUGUAGUGCAUUUGUGAAUUUAAUGGUGUAAAGCAAUUCAAACCUAAUGAAAUUUUUAUAGAAUAUUUUUUUUACUAUUUAGAGUAAGAUCAAUACCUCUGAUCUUAAAUUCAAAUCUUUUAUCAUCAUUUUUUAUGAGAUUUUUAUUUUCAGCCGUUCAUUUUUACACUACUCGUUUGAUAGGUAAAAUUUAGUUCUCAAAUACUUCAAUAGUGUAGAUUAAGUGUAACGGAGCCGAUCGUUGAUUUGGAAGCCGUAUCAUUGAAAACAACUUGGUAGCACAGAAGCUUCCAUACUACCGAUAGUAUACCAGUCGGACUCUAUAUAUAUUGAAAGUAUUUUAAAACUAAAUUUUAUAAUUUUUCAACAUCAUUUACUUAUCAAACGAGUAGUGUAAAAAUGAACAGUGAAAAUAAUAAUCUUAUAAAAAAUGAUUAUAAAAGAUUCGAAUUUAAAAUCAAAGCUACUGAUCUUACCCUAAAUAGUAAAAAUAAUUUUUUAUAAAAAUUUCAUCAGAUUUGAAUUGUUUUACACCUUUAAAAUCACGAACGCAUCACAUCGGCCAUUAAAAUUAUCAUUUUUUAGACCUUUUUAUCACUAGCCAAAUAAUGUCGAAAACUAUGAAAUUUAGUUUCCAAAUACUUUCAAUAAUGUAGAUCAAGUCUAAUGGAGCCAAUCAUUGAUUCGAAAGCCGCAUCAUCGAAAACAACUUGGUAACACAAAGGCCUCCGUGCAACCGAUAGUAUACCAACCUAGUUUUAUAUAAAGAGAGAGAGAGAAAGAGAGAGACAAAGAGAGACAGAGAGAGAGAGAGAAUGAGGCUGCUAUACUAUCUAUAGUAUCGGAGCUCAGGUACUAUAGUCUAGUUUUUUAUCUUAAGGUGUUCAAACCAAUGAUCCACACCAUCAAUAUAAUCUAGGGCAUAUGAAGUUCUUAGAAAUAAAAUUUAAUUUUUUCCAACAUCGUUUAUUUAGUAAUAAAUAAAUCAUGUCAAAAUAAAUGGUGAAAAUUGAACAAUUUUUAAAAUUUUAGAAUAGGACUUUUAAAUUCAAGAUCAAGGAUGUUGACUUUGAUCUAGAUAGUUUAAAAUAUUUUCUAUCAAAAUUUGAAUUAAUAAGAUUCUUUUACAUUGUUUAAUUAUAAACUCAUCAUAGUAGACAUUGAAAUUUGACAAAUUUGAAAUAGUUUGAUUACAAAGUAAAUUAUGUCGAAAAAGUAUAAAAUUUUAUUUCUAAAAAUCAAAUAUCCUAGAUCAAUUUUAACAGUAUAAAUCGUUGAUUUGAAUACUCUAAAAUUGAAAACGAUAUUAUAGUACAAGAGUUCCCUUACUAUAGAUAUAGAUAGUAUAGGAGUCUAGCGCUCUCUCUCUCUCUCUCUCUCUCUCUCUCUCUCUCUCUCUCUCUCUCUCUCUC